CCUACGGGAGGCUGCAGUGAGGAAUAUUGGUCAAUGGACGAGAGUCUGAACCAGCCAAGUAGCGUGAAGGAUGACUGCCCUAGGGGUUGUAAACUUCUUCUAUAAAGGAAUAAAACGAGGCACGUGUGCCUGUUUGCAUGUACUUUAUGAAUAAGGAUCGGCUAAAUCCGUGCCAGCAGCCGCGGUAAUACGGAGGGACCGAGCGUUAUCCGGAUUUAUUGGGGUUAAAGGGAGCGUAGAUGGGUUGUUAAGUCAGUUGUGAAAGUUUGCGGCUCAACCGUAAAAUUGCAAUUGAUACUGGCAGUCUUGAGUACAGUUGAGGUAGGCGGAAUUCGUGGUGUAGCGGUGAAAUGCUUAGAUAUCACGAAGAACCCCGAUUGCGAAGGCAGCUUACUAAACUGUGACUGACAUUGAUGCUCGAAAGUGUGGGUAUCAAACAGGAUUAGAUACCCUUGUAGUC
rnacentral:rRNA from 1 species